rnacentral:rRNA from 1 species
AGCUGAACAGAACUGGAAAGUUCGGGCAGAGAAGGUAACACCCCUGUAAACGAAAGGGAUCUUGACUGUGAGGGAAUCCUGAGUACCGCGGGACACGUGAAACCCCGUGGGAAACAGGGAGGACCACCUCCCAAGGCUAAAUACUUCUUAGCGACCGAUAGCGAACAAGUACCGUGAGGGAAAGGUGAAAAGCACCUCGGAAGAGGAGUGAAAGAGAACCUGAAACCGUGCGCUUACAAGCAGUUAUAGCACUCUUAAAAGUGUGAUAGCGUGCCUUUUGUAGAAUGAACCGGCGAGUUAUGGUAUGUAGCGAGGUUAAGGCGAGAAGCUGGAGCCGAAGCGAAAGCGAGUCUGAAAAGGGCGGCUAGUUACAUGCUGUAGACCCGAAACCGUGUGAUCUACCCAUGGCCAGGGUGAAGGUGGGGUAAAACCUACUGGAGGCCCGAACUCACUGUCGUUGAAAAGGCAGGGGAUGAGCUGUGGGUAGGGGUGAAAUGCCAAUCGAACACGGAGAUAGCUGGUUCUCCCCGAAAUAGCUUUAGGGCUAGCCUCAAUUGAUGACUUAUGGCGGUAGAGCACUGAAUAGGCUAGGGGCCUUACCAGGUUACCGAACCUUAUCAAACUCCGAAUGCCAUAAGAUUUAGAUUGGGAGUCAGACUGUGGGGGAUAAGCUUCAUAGUCGAAAGGGAAACAGCCCAGACCAUCAGCUAAGGUCCCUAAGAUACACUAAGUGGGAAAGGAUGUGGAAUUGCACAGACAACCAGGAUGUUGGCUUAGAAGCAGCCACCAUUUAAAGAGUGCGUAAUAGCUCACUGGUCGAGUGACUCUGCGCCGAAAAUGUACCGGGGCUAAACGUAUCACCGAAGCUGCGGACUGUUCUUACGAACAGUGGUAGGAGAGCGUUCUAAGGGCGUUGAAGCUAGACCGUAAGGACUGGUGGAGCGCUUAGAAGUGAGAAUGCCGGUAUGAGUAUGCGAAAAGACAAGUGAGAAUCUUGUCCGCCGAAAAUCUAAGGUUUCCUGGGGA